rnacentral:rRNA from 1 species
GGUUAAGCGACUAAGCGUACACGGUGGAUGCCCUGGCAGUCAGAGGCGAUGAAGGACGUGCUAAUCUGCGAUAAGCGUCGGUAAGGUGAUAUGAACCGUUAUAACCGGCGAUUUCCGAAUGGGGAAACCCAGUGUGAUUCGUCACACUAUCAUUAACUGAAUCCAUAGGUUAAUGAGGCGAACCGGGGAACUGAAACAUCUAAGUACCCCGAGGAAAAGAAAUCAACCGAGAUUCCCCCAGUAGCGGCGAGCGAACGGGGAGCAGCCCAGAGCCUGAAUCAGUGUGUGUGUUAGUGGAAGCGUCUGGAAAGGCGCGCGAUACAGGGUGACAGCCCCGUACACAAAAAUGCACAUAUUGUGAGCUCGAUGAGUAGGGCGGGACACGUGGUAUCCUGUCUGAAUAUGGGGGGACCAUCCUCCAAGGCUAAAUACUCCUGACUGACCGAUAGUGAACCAGUACCGUGAGGGAAAGGCGAAAAGAACCCCGGCGAGGGGAGUGAAAAGAACCUGAAACCGUGUACGUACAAGCAGUGGGAGCACAGAGCAAUCUGUGUGACUGCGUACCUCUUGUAUAAUGGGUCAGCGACUUAUAUUCUGUAGCAAGGUUAACCGAAUAGGGGAGCCGAAGGGAAACCGAGUCUUAACUGGGCGUUAAGUUGCAGGGUAUAGACCCGAAACCCGGUGAUCUAGCCAUGGGCAGGUUGAAGGUUGGGUAACACUAACUGGAGGACCGAACCGACUAAUGUUGAAAAAUUAGCGGAUGACUUGUGGCUGGGGUGAAAGGCCAAUCAAACCGGGAGAUAGCUGGUUUCUCCCCGAAAGCUAUUUAGGUAGCGCCUCGUGAAUUCAUCUCCGGGGUAGAGCACUGUUUCGGCAAGGGGGUCAUCCCGACUUACCAACCCGAUGCAAACUGCGAAUACCGGAGAAUGUUAUCACGGGAGACACACGGCGGGUGCUAACGUCCGUCGUGAAGAGGAAACAACCAGACCGCCAGCUAAGGUCCCAAAGUCAUGGUUAAGUGGGAAACGAUGUGGGAAGGCCCAGACAGCCGGGAUGUUGGCUAAAGCAGCCAUCAUUUAAAGAAAGCGUAAUAGCUCACUGGUCGAGUCGGCCUGCGCGGAAGAUGUAACGGGGCUAAACCAUGCACCGAAGCUGCGGCAGCGGCAGCUUAUGCGUUGUUGGGUAGAGGAGCGUUCUGUAAGCCUGUGAAGGUGUGCUGUGAGGCAUGCUGGAGGUAUCAGAAGUGCGAAUGCUGACAUAAGUAACGAUAAAGCGGGUGAAAAGCCCGCUCGCCGGAAGACCAAGGGUUCCUGUCCAACGUUAAUCGGGGCAGGGUGAGUCGACCCCUAAGGCGAGGCCGAAAGGCGUAGUCGAUGGGAAACAGGUUAAUAUUCCUGUACUAGGUGUUACUGCGAAGGGGACGGAGAAGGCUAUGUUGGUAGGGCGACGGUUGUCCCAGUUUAAGCGUGUAGGCUGGUUUUCCAGGCAAAUCCGGAAAAUCAAGGCUGAGGCGUGAUGACGAGGCACUACGGUGCUGAAGCAACAAAUGCCCUGCUUCCAGGAAAAGCCUCUAAGCAUCAGGUAACAUCAAAUCGUACCCCAAACCGACACAGGUGGUCAGGUAGAGAAUACCAAGGCGCUUGAGAGAACUCGGGUGAAGGAACUAGGCAAAAUGGUGCCGUAACUUCCGGGAGAAGGCACGCUGAUAUGUAGAGUGAGGUCCCUCGCGGAUGGAGCUGAAAUCGGUCGAAGAUACCAGCUGGCUGCAACUGUUUAUUAAAAACACAGCACUGUGCAAACACGAAAGUGGACGUAUACGGUGUGACGCCUGCCCGGUGCCGGAAGGUUAAUUGAUGGGGUUAGCGGUAACGCGAAGCUCUUGAUCGAAGCCCCGGUAAACGGCGGUAGUAACUAUAACGGUCCUAAGGUAGCGAAAUUCCUUGUCGGGUAAGUUCCGACCUGCACGAAUGGCGUAAUGAUGGCCAGGCUGUCUCCACCCGAGACUCAGUGAAAUUGAACUCGCUGUGAAGAUGCAGUGUACCCGCGGCAAGACGGAAAGACCCCGUGAACCUUUACUAUGGCUUGACACUGAACGUUAGAGCCUUGAUGUGUAGGAUAGGUGGGAGGCUUUGAAGUGUGGACGCCAGUCUGCAUGGAGCCGGCAUCGAAUACCACCCUUUAAUGUUUGAUGUUCUAACGUUGGCCCCUGAUCGGGGUUGCGGACAGUGUCUGGUGGGUAGUUUGACUGGGGCGGUCUCCUCCUAAAGAGUAACGGAGGAGCACGAAGGUUGGCUAAUCCUGGUCGGACAUCAGGAGGUUAGUGCAAUGGCAUAAGCCAGCUUGACUGCGAGCGUGACGGCGCGAGCAGGUGCAGCAGGUCAUAGUGAUCCGGUGGUUCUGAAUGGAAGGGCCAUCGCUCAACGGAUAAAAGGUACUCCGGGGAUAACAGGCUGAUACCGCCCAGAGUUCAUAUCACGACGGCGGUGUUUGGCACCUCGAUGUCGGCUCAUCACAUCCUGGGGCUGAAGUAGGUCCCAAGGGUAUGGCUGUUCGCCAUUUAAAAGUGGUACGCGAGCUGGGUUUAGAACGUCGUGAGACAGUUCGGUCCCUAUCUGCCGUGGGCGCUGGAGAACUGAGGGGCUGCUCCUAGUACGAGAGGGACCGGGUGGACGCAUCACUGGUGUUCGGGUUGUCAUGCCAAUGGCACUGCCCGGUAGCUAAAUGCGGAAGAGAUAAGUGCUGAAAGCAUCUAAGCACGAAACUUGCCCCGAGAUGGAGUUCUCCUGACCCUUUAAGGGUCCUGAAGGAACGUUGAAGACGACGACGUUGAUAGGCCGGGUGUGUAAGCGCAGCGAUGCGUUGAAGCUAACCGGUACUAAUGAACCGUGAGGCUUAACCUU